GCUGCCCGCCCGCCCUUCUACAGACAGUCACUGAGGAGGCGGCCAGAGCCUGGGCUGCGACCCUUACUGCAGCUGCUGAGUAAAAUUGUGAGGAAAAAUAUCCAAAAAUAUAUAUAUUUACCAGUACUAGUCAGAUGGUGGAGUACAGCAAGAAAGCCCACAUUAUCUGAGACCAUCACUGACAACGAUCAGUGCUGGCAGGUGGCAGAAGAGGCUGAACUGUUCUUACCUUGGAUAAACCUAGUCAGUGCUGCGGGAGGUGUUUCAGCCUUCAAGCUGUCAUGCCUCAGGUGGCUGAAGCUGCUCUAUUGGAAAGUAGAGGACAAGCGGAGGCUGCCAGAGCUGGAGGACAUGAUGAAACUUGGUGAAAAAUGGUCUUUUUCUAGCGUAAAUUUUCAUGGGAGUCCAGUGGAAAACAACUGGUGUGAACAUAGUUUGAGUCAAGGCAUAGCAAAUAACAAAUCUAUCUAAAUAAAGACCAGGUGGCAAUACAAGCCAAAGCAAUGGUGUCCUGUGUGCUACUAACUUAGUUAGUGCAGUUACCAAUAAUUACCACAUCCUUAAAUGACCAUAUUGUAUUCAGUAAUGUCAGUAAGGUCAAUUCACAGUCAUAGGAUAAAAGGGGAUACUCCAGUAGCUCUUAAUGUGCAUCAAAAUGAGAAGAUUGAUAUUGACAAGGUGACCUCUGCUCCGAAGGGGCAGUUUAUUUUGAAUGCCUGUAGUUUUUCUUGUUUAUGAUUGACAGCCUCGAUGGUAUGACUAUUUUUGUUGUUUUUUUUUUUCCUAAAGGAGCAGCACAGUUUGUGCUAGCUAUUUUGAAUGAUUCAGCAAUAGCACAAGUUAAAGAAGGCUAGUAAGAUUUUUCUGUAGAAAGUUGCUACACCCCAGUGCCCAAUGUCCCCCAAGUGCCCUUUGAUCGUUCUCUGAAUGACCCCGGCUCUGUGUUAAUGUCUGGCAUGCAGUUCCGCAAUUAAAAUGUGUGGCCUGACAUCAGUUCCGAAUUUGUCUUUCCUUCAAUUUUUCAUGUCCACCCAAUUCAUUCUUUCGUCCCCUUAACCUUCUCUGUGUCAGAUAACUGCGUUUUAUUCUUUGGUUGCUAUCUGUGGAAAGUUUACGUGCAAUUUACUUCUUCAGUUCUGUUUU
rnacentral:lncRNA from 1 species